rnacentral:rRNA from 1 species
CUACGGGCCGCAGCAGUGGGGAAUAUUGGACAAUGGGGGAAACCCUGAUCCAGCAAUGCCGCGUGUGUGAAGAAGGCCUGCGGGUUGUAAAGCACUUUCGGUUGGGAGGACUGCUUCUAGCACUAAUAUUGUUGGAAGUUGACGUUACCUUCAGAAGAAGCACCGGCUAACUCCGUGCCAGCAGCCGCAGUAAUACGGAGGGUGCAAGCGUUAAUCGGAAUUACUGGGCGUAAAGCGCGCGUAGGCGGCUAGAUCAGUCGGGUGUGAAAGCCCCGGGCUUAACCUGGGAACCGCAUCCGAUACUGUCUAGCUUGAGUACAGGAGAGGAGAGUGGAAUUCCACAUGUAGCGGUGAAAUGCGUAGAUAUGUGGAGGAACACCAAUGGCGAAGGCAGCUCUCUGGCCUGAUACUGACGCUGAGGUGCGAAAGCGUGGGGAGCAAACAGGAUUAGAUACCCCAGUAGUC